rnacentral:rRNA from 1 species
UUCGUGUGAACAGUGGUUGAUCACGAGUUAGUCGGUCCUAAGUUCAAGGCGAAAGCCGAAAAUUUUCAAGUAAAGAAAAAUCAAAUUAAUAAGUCAAUAUGGUAGAUUUUUAUACACUUGAAUAAUUUUGAACGAAAGGGAAUACGGUUCCAAUUCCGUAACCUGUUGAGUAUCCGUUUGUUAUUAAAUAUGGGCCUCGUGCUCAUCCUGGCAACAGGAACGACCAUAAAGAAGCCGUCGAGAGGUAUCGGAAGAGUUUUCUUUUCUGUUUUAUAGCCGUACUACCAUGGAAGUCUUUCGCAGAGAGAUAUGGUAGAUGGGCUAGAAGAGCAUGACAUAUACUGUUGUGUCGAUAUUUUCUCCUCGGACCUUGAAAAUUUAUGGUGGGGAUACGCAAACUUCUCAACAGGCCGUACCAAUAUCCGCAGCUGGUCUCCAAGGUGAAGAGUCUCUAGUCGAUAGAAUA